AUGUGUUUGCAUGUUCUUCUCGGCGAGCGGGGAUGUAGGUGGGAUUGCGAGAAUCGAAAAGGUUGGAGAUCCCACACGCUCAGCUUCCGAGAAAGUACGUUUUACAAUCAUUUAUUAUUAUAUUUCCCUCUUGUUCUAUACAGGCGAGGACUAUAUUAAUUGAAUUGCUUUGGUGUAAGGUUUUUUUCUGUAUUUUUUUUUUUACAUCAAGCUCUACGGUAGGCUUGGAGACGGACGGCUUGGACAGUCGGAGCCCUCCCCUCCACUCGGAACCGCUUUGGUAGUUUGUAGGUUGCCAGUGAAAGGAUGUGGAUGAGGGCUGAGGUUUAGAGCGAGAGCCAAGGCUCUAGGGCCUGCCUGUGGUUGGCUGGCCGAUUCGCCCACAGCAGGGAGGCGCCACCUCACCUGGGCUCAGAGCAGACUGUGAGAACCUAUCGGCUCCCCCUCCUCUGCUCGCCCCCUGUCCCCCUCCCGCCCCGAUCCCCAGCCCUGCACGUACUGGACCAUGUCUAGCGGAAGCCGAGACCGGACAGCCGAGGCCCUGGAGCGGAACAGCUGCACGGAGGAUGUCCCUGUCAUUGAGCGCAGGAACCGCAGUGGCAUCAUCAGUGAGCCCCUGAGUAAGAGCCUUAAGAGGUCCCGCACCCUCUCCCAGUACACAGCCGCCUGCCCCACCAACACUAAUGGACACGCACACCACAAUGGAGAGGCCAAGAGCCACCCGGCCAAGCCCCAGCCACCCCCACAGCCCCAGCCCACCGUCUCAGCGCUUGCGGCAGCCAAGCUGGACCGCACCCUGGAGCAGGUCUUGGAGGGACAGAACGGCCUGCUGCACUUUGCCCAGGCGGCGGAGCUGCUAAAGAGGGCUGGGAUGGAGCACAUGCUGCUGCCGGGGGGCAUGGGGAUGGGGAUGGGGGGUAGCGAUUCAGGCUCAGGGGCAAGCGACUUGGAGGGUUCGUCUGCUGUGGACUCUGUUGGCGGUGUUGCGGACUUCCCGUACGGUGUUGGAGGCGGCUUCCCGUUCAACCCGGGGCUGUUCAUCAUGACACCGGCAGGAGUGUUCUUGGCCGACAGCGCGCUGCACAUGGCCGGCCUGGCCGAGUACCCGGCGCAGAGCGAGCUGGCCUCGGCCAUCAACUCCGGCAAAAAGAAGCGGAAACGCUGCGGCAUGUGCCCGCCCUGCCGCCGGCGGAUUAACUGCGAGACGUGCAGCAGCUGCCGGAACCGCAAAACGGGCCACCAGAUCUGCAAGUUCCGCAAAUGUGAGGAGCUGAAAAAGAAACCGUCUGCCGCUCUGGAGCGCAUCAGCAGUACAGCCAUAGCAGGGGGACUUGCUGUGAUGUUAACGGGACAAAUACGUACACCUGUUUAGCAUUUCCGCUUGGAAUAGCUUAGCAUGAAAUGAACUGUUGACCUCUCCUUCGGAUUGGGUGAUGCUUCCUACAGGAGCAGCAUUCCGAUGGUUCCAGUAAGACUCUGACCCUCCUCCACCCUUACCCCUACCUACCCACCCAAACCCAAAGCUCUGCGAUCAAGUGCAAUGCCAACUCUCGCUUGGAUUGUCUCGGCACGGACACUGGCUGACAAGCAAACAAACAACAAAAAUAUACAAAAAAACUAAACAGAAAUUAUACAAAAUAAUCAAUUGAGUAAUGGAUGCACCUGCUUAUUCCUUGAACCAAAAAUUUAACAUAAAGAAAAAUAUCUAUGGCAACUUUCAUUCCCUUUUCUAUGUUUCCAUUUUGGUACCUUUUGUCCUUUUUCCAGCAGGUUUUUUCUGUCGCUUAGACAUGGAACUGUUCAUUGCCAAACAGAAAUGACGGACUGAGUGUGGACAAUCAACUAAUUUGUGUGUUUGGUGUUAAUGUUGUUCACGUGUGGAAAGAUACAGUACUUGUGUAGAGAAUGUACAUUUACGGCUAUAUUUUAAAGCUAGUGGCUAAUGGCAGGCACUAUUGUAAUUUAGCACCAUUGUUCUUAAACUUAAACCCGUCUAUUUCAUGAUUUGUUUUGUUUUAAGAAUAUUGUUUUGAAACGGAUCAAUGGUUGUCUUUUAAAAGAAAAAGGAAAUAUUUCCAAAUGUAAAAAUACUUAUCGAAAUGAAAUAGCAACUGUUAUCCCAUCGGGCAGAAGUCUAGGGGACUCUUUAGCAGGAUGAUGCUAUCCUCCAGAGAACUGGAAUCUCUCCAACCAACAAACCAACCAACCGUGUUUUCCACGCCUGUAUUUCCAAGCUUUUUUAUUUUGUGAAACUGGCAGCCUUACGUUCCUGUGGCCCAAACUAGUGUGUGUCAUGAGGAUCCCAACACAGAGGGAGACAGCACUUCCAUUUGGAAUAGCACAGAGGGCGACAGCACUAGGAGACAGCACUUCCAUUUGGAAUAGCUUAGCUCUGGGUCUACCCAUUUGAACGCACUGAAACAAGAUUUCUUUAUGUUUUAUUUCAGUUUUUUUUUUUUUUUUUCAUUAUGUUGCUGGUAGCUACAUCUUUUAAAACAACAGCGAUGUUUGUAUUCAUUUAGAAAAUUGGACUGGUUUUGUGAAUAAAAACGAAUGCAUGUAUUUGUGUCAAAAUUUACAGUUCUGAUGUUUGUUUACUUGUCUUUGCAUGUUUUUUUUCUAAAACAAUGACGGAAUUUAGAAAAUUCUGAAGUAUGAAAAUGUUCGGUAACCUUAAACAUUUGUUCCCUUUUCAUAUCAUUGGAUAUAAUAAUAAAAAAAUGGAUGGGGUGAGAAAUACAACUCAUUAAAGCAGAAUCAGGAAAUGGUGAGUUUCA